CAAGUCGAGGGGCAGCAUGGUCUUAGCUUGCUAAGGCUGAUGGCGACCGGCGCACGGGUGAGUAACACGUAUCCAACCUGCCGUCUACUCUUGGCCAGCCUUCUGAAAGGAAGAUUAAUCCAGGAUGGGAUCAUGAGUUCACAUGUCCGCAUGAUUAAAGGUAUUUUCCGGUAGACGAUGGGGAUGCGUUCCAUUAGAUAGUAGGCGGGGUAACGGCCCACCUAGUCAACGAUGGAUAGGGGUUCUGAGAGGAAGGUCCCCCACAUUGGAACUGAGACACGGUCCAAACUCCUACGGGAGGCAGCAGUGAGGAAUAUUGGUCAAUGGGCGAUGGCCUGAACCAGCCAAGUAGCGUGAAGGAUGACUGCCCUAUGGGUUGUAAACUUCUUUUAUAAAGGAAUAAAGUCGGGUAUGCAUACCCGUUUGCAUGUACUUUAUGAAUAAGGAUCGGCUAACUCCGUGCCAGCAGCCGCGGUAAUACGGAGGAUCCGAGCGUUAUCCGGAUUUAUUGGGUUUAAAGGGAGCGUAGAUGGAUGUUUGAGUCAGUUGUGAAAGUUUGCGGCUCAACCGUAAAAUUGCAGUUGAUACUGGAUGUCUUGAGUGCAG
rnacentral:rRNA from 1 species